rnacentral:lncRNA from 1 species
GAGUACAUUUUACUGAACGUGACCAACUCUAGAGUAUUCUGCUGUCAAGAGUCACUCUGAAGGGAUAUAAGUGUCCCUCCAACCUGAGAUCAUCACAGUGAUAUGCAAGCAACUCGCUAUGCUUUGGUGCUGGACAACCUAAAUUUUUAAUUCAAGAUCGAAAGAUUUCUAGACACAAUUAAGUACUUGUAAAGUCGGUGCGUGAGUCAAGAUAGAAUUGACCACUCCAAG